rnacentral:lncRNA from 1 species
UUUUAUUUUUUGAAAUGGGUCAACUAGUCAGGUGGGUCCCUGUUGUCAGGUUCUGGUAACUGGGUCCCAUUUGUCAGGGUUCUGGUAACUGGGUCCCAUCUAUCAGGCUCAGUCUUUAUAUUUCAACUACUAUUUAAAUUGGCAGAGAUAGAAAACACACAUGAUACUCCAAAUAAGAGCAACCAGAUCAUGUAAUACAAUGAAAAUCACAGUAACGACUACAAGUGUAAUACAAUACUUUAGAAGCUCUACAAGCUCCUUCCAAAGCAACCACAAACUAGGCACCCGCUCGCGUCAUGAACAACAUGCCAAAAUAGUUGGACGACCAUAGACAGAUGAACAACAUGCCGGACUCGUUGGACAACCAUAGUCGGGCUGGGAGCAAACAAAAUGGUUCCUCAUUCGCACUGUUACAUGAAUCAAUAGAGAAGAACCAGAAAAACUGGGGCAAAUAACAACAUGCUGGACUCGCUGGACAACCAUAGUCGGGCUGGGAAUAAACAAAACGGCAACAUGGCUUCCUCGGUCGCCCUGUUACAUGAAUCAGUAGAGAAGAAUCAGAAAAACUAGGGAAAAUAUAUUAUGAACAGACCAUUCAAGAAAAUGAUAGUUAUUUAUAGUAAUAACACAAACUGAGCUAGUACCAUGCUUUUUGUUCUCCAGCUAGUUAAAAUGAGAUACUCUCAUACAAGAAAACAGAGAUACAAUAUGAAAGCUAACAGUAGGGAUGCCACAACUUAAAUGAGCAAGCUAUUUUGUUUUUGAGAAACAAAAAAAAAUGCACCAAUAAUUUUUCAGAAGGUAACAGAACUGGUCACAUUAAUUAGAACAGGAUCGCCAAACACCAAUAUAGGCUAGCAUGAAAAAAAACACGGAGGUAGUAGUGGUUGUCCAGGGAGAUAAACAUAGAAAAGAAAACAUGAUUUCAGCGAAAUUAAAAUUGUCGAUGUAAGUUGAAUAAUAGUGCAGCAGAUUAGCUCUUAGCAUGGAGGAACAUCACCAAAUUAAACCAGAUGGUUGUUCAAGUUUCUAUUUGAGUAUUCAUGGUUACAGUUUGUUAUCAUCGUCUAAAUUCUCCAACAUGUACAAUAUUAAUUAAUACAACUGAAUAUGCUACCAAUGAAGUAAACUCUAAAAGAUACAGGCAGGGCUUAAUUAACCAACCUUGUCAUUCUAUAAACACAAACCAAACUCAACGAUAAGGUGUACAAUUAUUACCAUAUAACCUGGGAAACAUACCUACUGUCCACACAUUUCAUAAUGUAAACAGUUAAAUACUACAGGAAAUAGAUUGCUAAGCAUUUCUGCCCUUCUUUCAAGCCACCACCAGCAUAACACCCUCAGUAUAACAAGAUCCACACAGACCACCAUCUACAGCAACCGUACUCACAAGACUACCAGGGUCAGAGAGAGUGAGAUUACCUUGGCGCCGUAAAUCUUAGAAGACAAAUCGUGUGCGAGGAAGUCCUUGUCGUCCACCGCCAAGCAGCAGGAUGCUCCCGCCGAGCCUACAGAAAGUUUUGCAUAUAGUUAGAAAACCUGGAAACAUACAGCAUGGCUACCACAACAUAGCAUUGAAGGAAAAAAAACUAAGAGCAUGUAACUGAACCUCCUGCAGCUCUAGCCUCUAGCAUGCACCCGAGCAACCUAUGCUUUCUCUGUCUCUUGGUCGUGACUGCAGAAAGAAAGCAACAAUUUUACCAUCCUGCAGUUGCCUCAAGUAGAUGGAAAGCUCAAUAUGAGUAAGGAUAAUUUGCCUCCAGAAGUAGUGACUAGAUUCAUAGAAAACAGAACAACAAAGUCAUGCCAUGACCAAAUCCUAACCAGAACGCAUUUAAUAAAAUGGAUUGCAUCUGGUUGCUGUAAUAGUGUAUAUAUACAUGCUAACGACAUGAACGUUCCAUCAGGCCAUGAUCAACUACUCAAAACCAUUACGUGCUUUGCAAAAAACAAAGGAGUAAUCAACAGAUGACACAAUGAACAAGUGAAGGCUUUAAAUAUCUCCAUGUCGAAGAAUCAAGUCAAUGAAGACAUGCAGUAGGAGAAGGAGCAGCCUUGCAUCAUCGUUUGCUCAGGUCGACGCUGGAAAGUG